GACUCCUCCAACCCCUGUGACAUACCACUUGUUGCCUCGGCGGAUCAGCCCGCUCCCGGUAAAACGGGACGGCCCGCCAGAGGACCCCUAAACUCUGUUUCUAUAUGUAACUUCUGAGUAAAACCAUAAAUAAAUCAAAACUUUCAACAACGGAUCUCUUGGUUCUGGCAUCGAUGAAGAACGCAGCAAAAUGCGAUAAGUAAUGUGAAUUGCAGAAUUCAGUGAAUCAUCGAAUCUUUGAACGCACAUUGCGCCCGCCAGUAUUCUGGCGGGCAUGCCUGUUCGAGCGUCAUUUCAACCCUCAAGCACAGCUUGGUGUUGGGACUCGCGUUAAUUCGCGUUCCCCAAAUUGAUUGGCGGUCACGUCGAGCUUCCAUAGCGUAGUAGUAAAACCCUCGUUACUGGUAAUCGUCGCGGCCACGCCGUUAAACCCCAACUUCUGAAUGUUGACCUCGGAUCAGGUAGGAAUACCCGCUGAACUUAAGCAUAUCAAUAAGGCGGAGGAA
rnacentral:rRNA from 1 species